CGUUAGGGCAGGUGUGAGGGGUGACAGGGCGAGUUUGGGAAGCUGCCGCCGGGGCCUUUGGUGCCGGUAUCGACCCGAGCGGCCCGGCGCUGAGGUGAUGGCCGCUGCGGCUGAGGUGAUGGCGGCGGCGGCCUCGUCGGGCAGGGCGGGAAGCGGCCGGGCCGUGAGGGAGGUGAGGGCCCGCGGUCAAACGCACCUCACUUACCCCCCCGCAAAUGCUCCCGGGUCCCGGUGACCCCUCUGCGUCGCGGCGAGGGGCCGUCCGAGGUGUAAAUCACGAAAAAAACCUCAUCCCUCUUUCCCCGCCGUCGACCGCUGCCCCCUCCGUCCCGUCACGCAGUCCCGAGCGGCGCCUCCGCCGUGAGCCCGCCGCCGCCGGGCCCGCAGGAGCCCCCCGCCGUGUCCCCUCAGCCCCUGAGGCAGGGGGUCGCUGCCUUCUGCCCGGCGGGUUUCAGCCCCGGGGGUCCGGGGAGAGCACCGACCGCCUGGAAGGUCUGAGCAAAACCCUGCCUGCGAGCCAGUGGUUAACGCUGUUCCGUAACUAUCUCGACAGGACGCUAUAAAUCCCUAACUAUUUCUGCGGGAGAGUGGAAGAGGUAAAGGCUGCAGAAGUAAAAAAGGCUAUUUCCUGUCGAUCGGCUGCUGAUAGCUGUCUGGCCAAAGUGGUUGUUGAAGAAAUUGCUUAAAGGUUUAAAAUGGCUUCUCAUUGGAAUCACUUGGAAGAAAUGGAUAACACUUGGAAAAUCUGCUUGAUAGCAAUCUGUGGAGGUUUCUUGAAAUGGUACAGCUUUGAAGGUGUUUAUAUUUUCAUGAGGACAGGACAAGAGAAGAAAGUAAAUCAUUCUUGGCAACUAUUUUUGUAAGGUAGAACUACUGAUACACAGUAAGUCACAUGGAAUUCUGAUAGAAGCCUUCUGGCCCUAAAUUCUCCAUUUUAUAUACCUGAAAGAGGUACUAAAACUAUUAUUUCAAGUCAGACAAUGGAACACAAGGACAAAGAAAAAAUAUGAUUGUAUUGAUACGUGAGCAAAGGUCAACCAACCAGAGAGAAGCAGAUUUCACUACUGGAUGGAGAAAGUUCCCUAACAUGCUGGAAAACCAAGGUGAACUGGAAAGGUAGCAGCAGAGGUACAUUCAAGUAAAUGGUUAUAUCAUAUUCUUGGGAGAAAAAUCUUAGGAAAACCACCAGAUUCCAUUUUAAGACAAGAACAACUCCAACUGUGAUCCUUUCUGAAAAGCAACAAUGUAAAAACCUGUUUCCUACAGAUACAGGAUUUCUUUUGUAAAGUAAACCUAUCUGGUAUGUCUGAUUAUUUUUAUAUUUUUUCCUUGUUUGAUCAGAGUGUAUUCUGAGCUCAGUUUUAUGUAUAAGUUGGUGCUCAUGGAUGCAUUUGGGCUUCUCUUGGAUAAGGACUGUGUGGGCUUUUGAACAAUAGUCUGCCAAGCAAUGUAUCAUGAAUCCUAAUUGUUUGAGAAAACAGUUGUUCUUUUUCUCCAGCAAAUACUGUUGUAUCCACAUUAUUAACAUAGUUAUGUAUAGUCGUUUUGAAAAUCAUUUUCAGUUUGAAGAAUUCUAAUGCUUCAUACAGUGAUUAUGCAAAAGUCUCAUGUAUAAGCAAUACCGAUGUUACUGGAAGCGCCUCAUAUAGAGUCCAAAUAUAGCAGAUCAAAUCAAAACUGUGCUACAUCUUAAGCAACUGUUGACCCAUUUCCAUAUCAAAUUGGUUUCUGUCAUAGAAGACUUUGCUUUUUCUUUUAGAGAUAUUUACUUGUUCUGUGCUGCUCAAGUACUGCAAUGGCGCAUUUCAUUCUAAGGUCACUUAAUUAUGGGUCAAUUGAUUUUUAUCUUCGUUUGUUUAUUAACAACUUUCUA